CGGGCGAGUUCGAGAAGAAGUAUGUAG
rnacentral:piRNA from 1 species